UACGUAGGGUGCAAGCGUUGUCCGGAAUUAUUGGGCGUAAAGAGCUCGUAGACGGCUUGUCGCGUCGAAUGUGAAAACCCACAGCUCAACUGUGGGCUUGCAUUCGAUACGGGCAGGCUCGAGUUCGGUAGGGGAGACUGGAAUUUCUGGUGUAGCGGUGGAAUGCGCAGAUAUCAGGAGGAACACCGGUGGCGAAGGCGGUUCUCUGGGCAUUACCUGACGCUGAGGAGCGAAAGUGUGGGGAGCGAACAGG
rnacentral:rRNA from 1 species